rnacentral:tRNA from 1 species
UUAUACUUAAGUUAAGUUUAAACUAUUAACUUGUGGUGUUAAAAAUAUUUGUUUAUAGUAUAAA